rnacentral:lncRNA from 1 species
AGUAUGACAGCUGUUAAGCAAGUGUAGAGAGCAUCGAGGCUAAAACUGGGACAGGGAGGCACAGGGCUCUGGGGAGAGAGGCUGAAAAAAAGGAGAUGACUCAGCACCAAUGCCAGAAGCCAUGUUGGAGAAAUACAGGUCAUUUGAUAAUCCAGAAGUUCAAGUCUUUUUCAGCAUGUUAUGGUUAUUUACAGUGUGUGCCAUGAAUUACACAGGAUGAACUGGGGAGCUGCUAGGUACCAGGGAUCAAACUCGGGACCUUGCGCUUGCGAGGCAGGCGGCAGAACCACUGAGCUACAUUCCUGGCCAUUAAACAGAGAAUAUUUAAUGGAAUAAUUAUUAAGGUGGGUUUUCACAGAAAAACUAGUUUGUAAAGCAGCAUGUGAAAGAUGCAAUAAAUGUGCAGGAUUUUAAAGUGAUUGUACCAAUAAGAAAAAAAUGAAG